GUUAACCGGAAAAAUCAACUUUGAGUCAAAAACCGAACCGGACCGUUUCAAACCGGUUCGGUUCCGGUUUCAAAUAAACUGGAACCGGCCGGAACCGAACCAAACCGUUUUAUUAAUAAUAAAUUAACUAAUUAUAUAUAUGCACACAUGUCAUGAUAUAAUAGGUUAGAUUGAAAAAUUAGUUUCACCAAGUUGCAAAGCAGUGAAUCCCACCCUCAUCCUCACUCACGGCCUCAUCAGUCAUCGCCCAUUUCACACUUUUAGACUUCCAUUCCUGUAGGCUUUUUCACUCUGCCGAGUCGCCGCCCACCUCACUCGCGGCUCUCUGCGACGACCCUCGUCAUCCCUCAUCCACGACAACUUCGUCCUCCGUCCUCCAUCCUUGGUAUUUUCUCUAUCUUUUCUCAUAUUCUCUCUCUACACCCCUUCGUCAAGUCUCUGAAGCAUUCACUUCUUUGCAUGCUGCGGAGGACCUCUUGCUUCACUCACCUUCCCCACUUCAGUCCCCACCGCAUCGCAUCCGAAUUAUCAGGUGCUCCCAUGGCUUCCACGCAGAGUGAUAUCUUAGCUUCUCGCGAAAGGAUCUUCAAGAACGCUUUUCGUGAAAUUUUGGAGCGAAGGGCAUCUGGACACUCUUGUCUUCUACUGUUUGAUUAAUUAUCUUCUACAGUUCCAGGUUAGUUGAACUUAAUUGUACUUGAUUAAUUAUCUUGUCUCAUAUUUAGCAUAUUUAGUAGUCUGGAGAUGUAUUUGAAUGCAUGAUGAUUUGGUGUUCAAAUAAUUUAAUAUUCAGAACCGUAAACC